UACAUCAUUGUCUAGAUAGAUAUUGUAUAUUGUUAAUCGAAAUUUUAAUCGUUUUGCUCGCCCCUUAAUGUUUUACAUUUGCUAGUAUUAUUCAUUAGUUAUUGUCAAUGUUGUGAUAAGUUUGUGUCACAUCACUCAUGUGAUUAGAUAAGUCAGUAGUUUGUGAGGGAGUGAACUGUGAAGAUGGCCACUGGUAGUGAAUCAGAAAAUAGUAUAAAAUAUUCUGGACUGUUAUUAUAUGAGGAGAAAGGUAUAAAUGACUAUCUAGUAAGUUUUAUGGUAGCUAAAAAUACAGGAGCACUCUUUGAAUAUAUUGAAAAGAACUGUCCUGAUGCUGAGAUUGGUCAAACUGUCUAUUUUAAAAUUGCCCAGAAAGAUUCUACACUUAUAUC